rnacentral:lncRNA from 1 species
AGCAAGAACUCCACCAGCCAUAGUUGUACACGUUGUAAUUCGAUAGGAACAAAUGUCUUUGUAGCUUUGAUCCAACUACUAGUAGUGAGUAUAAUCAAAGCUCUUGGAGAUAAAAGGUUAUAAUAGGAGAUAUACUUUGACUAGUUCGCUCUCCUUAUCCCUUCUUAUAAGGAAAGGCCUCUUGACUUCAUCUUUGUUAUUUAGUCCAUGGUGGUUGGUACUAUUUAAUAUUUCCUUCGUAAACUACUUAUUAUAGAUGCAUGAUGUACUUCAUAUAGAAUACCCGAUCAAAAAUAUUAAAAUACACAAAACAUGUGUCACUAAUUGUGUUUUUAUUAACGAGAUAAAUAAAGACCCUAAACGUACGAAAGUUGCAUGUGAGCAAU